UGUUUCAUUGGCUGUGGCAGAAAACU
rnacentral:piRNA from 2 species